CUUAACGUAGCUCAGUUGGUUAGAGCACCACCUUGACAUGGUGGGGGUCGGUGGUUCGAGUCCACUCGGACGCACCA
rnacentral:tRNA from 1 species